CUUAGAUAGUCGUGAUGUCGAACCAAUGGUUUUGUAUUAUAGUUUUUAAAUGGAUAAUAAUUAAAAAAAAAGAAAAGAAAAUUAUUAAGACAAAUCAUUUUACUACAAUUUGGUCGAUAGUGAAAGAGGCAUUAAGAAAAAAAAAAUUUUAACUUCCAAAAAAAUAGAUAUUUCAGUUGUGGUAAAUACUUAGUUAUAAGGUGCCCACGUCAAUGUGCACAUGUAUGUGUAUGUAAAAGUAUAUAAAUAUAGUUGAUAAAUAUAUAAAGAUACUGUUAAUU
rnacentral:lncRNA from 1 species